GCGCGAAACCUCCGCAAUGUGAGAAAUCGCGACGGGGGGACCCCAAGUGCCAUUCUUAACGGGAUGGCUUUUCUUAAGUGUAAAAAGCUUUUGGAAUAAGAGCUGGGCAAGACCGGUGCCAGCCGCCGCGGUAACACCGGCAGCUCUAGUGGUGGCCAGUUUUAUUGGGCCUAAAGCGUUCGUAGCCGGUUUAUUAAGUCUCUGGUGAAAUCCCGUAGCUUAACUAUGGGAAUUGCUGGAGAUACUAGUAGACUUGAGGUCGGGAGAGGUUAGAGGUACUCCCAGGGUAGGGGUGAAAUCCUGUAAUCCUGGGAGGACCACCUGUGGCGAAGGCGUCUAACUGGAACGAACCUGACGGUGAGGGACGAAAGCUAGGGGCGCGAACCGGAUUAGAUACCCGGGUAGUCCUAGCCGUAAACGAUGCGGACUUGGUGUUAGGAUGGCUUUGAGCCGCUCUAGUGCCGAAGGGAAGCUGUUAAGUCCGCCGCCUGGGAAGUACGGUCGCAAGACUGAAACUUAAAGGAAUUGGCGGGGAGCACCACAACGCGUGGAGCCUGCGGUUU
rnacentral:rRNA from 1 species